rnacentral:tRNA from 1 species
AGCCCCGUAGUCUAGCGGUCAAAGAUACUAGCCUUUGGAGCUAGUGACCCCGGUUCGAAUCCGGGCGGGGCUA